UACGUAGGGGGCUAGCGUUGUCCGGAAUCAUUGGGCGUAAAGCGCGCGUAGGCGGUCCGGUAAGUCCGCUGUGAAAGUCGGGGGCUCAACCCUCGAAUGCCGGUGGAUACUGUCGGGCUAGAGUGCGGAAGAGGCGAGUGGAAUUCCUGGUGUAGCGGUGAAAUGCGCAGAUAUCAGGAGGAACACCAAUUGCGAAGGCAGCUCGCUGGGACGUUACUGACGCUGAGACGCGAAAGCGUGGGGAGCAAACAGG
rnacentral:rRNA from 1 species